UAGCUCUUGUGCUGGUUGUUUUUCCCCACUCUCCAACCAGCUGUUAUUCUGUCAGAGGAAAGGAUUUUUACCAAGUGGAAACAUGAGCCUUUUAAAAUCUUUCUCGUUUGUGUGAGAGAGAGAAUCUUCCUGGUGCUUUUGUACUUUCAGAAGGAUAAUCCAUAAUAGUCCUGCAUUGUACUGAAUUCUGCACUGUGGCAUAUAGAAUAAAACUGGCUUGUAGCACCAAAGUUUUCUAUAAAAUAUUGAAUGAAGAAAAGAACAGUAAAAAUCAAACCUGGGGAAAUUGGAAGAUGGCCCUGCUGUGGUGUCCCAUUCUUCCUGCUAAGGACAAUACCGGAAGAGUCAGCUCCAUGAACAGACAGGAAGGCAGAACACUAUACCAGUAAUGUCUCUGUCACAUUUCCUGAGAGCUACAUUUGUAGGUCUAAUAAAUUUGGGGUUUUCAUUUUUUA